rnacentral:rRNA from 1 species
CUGCAGCUCAAGUGGUAGCCGCUAUUAUUGGGCCUAAAACGUUCGUAGCCGGUUUAGUAAAUGCUUGGGUAAAUUGUGUCGCUUAACGAUACGAAUACCGGGUAGACUGCUAAACUUGGGACCGGGAGAGGCUAGAGGUAUUCCUGGGGUAGAGGUGAAAUUCUGUAAUCCUGGGGGGACCACCAGUGGCGAAGGCGUCUAGCUAGAACGGGUCUGACGGUGAGGGACGAAGCCCUGGGGCGCAAACCGGAUUAGAUACCCGAGUAGUCC